rnacentral:misc_RNA from 1 species
GAUGAAGAACGUAGCGAAAUGCGAUAAGUAAUGCGAAUUGCAGAAUUCCAGUGAGUCAUCGAAUCUUUGAACGCACAUUGCGCCCUUUGGUAUUCCGAAGGGCAUGCCUGUUCGAGCGUCAUUAUCACCCCUCAAGCCCUCGGCUUGGUGUUGGACGGUUUGGUGGAGGCCCCCUCGGGGGCUCCUGCCCCUCCCAAAGACAAUGACGGCGGCCUCGUUGGACCCCCGGUACACUGAGUUCUUCACGGGACACGUAUCGGACACAUGGGUUUACGGGACACGGUCUGCCUCCCCUCAGGGAGAAUCUUUCUAAGGUUGACCUCGGAUCAGGUAGGGAUACCCGCUGAACUUAAGCAGAUCAAUAAGCAGAGGA